rnacentral:rRNA from 1 species
UACGUAGGCAGCGAGCGUUGUUCGGAAUUACUGGGCGUAAAGAGUGUGUAGGCGGUGCUCCCAGUCUGUUGUGAAAUCUCCCGGCUCAACCGGGAGGGUGCGCCGAAUACUGAGGGACUAGAGUAUGGGAUGGGAAAGUGGAAUUCCUGGUGUAGCGGUGAAAUGCGUAGAUAUCAGGAGGAACACCUGUGGUGUAGACGGCUUUCUGGACCAUAACUGACGCUGAGACACGAAAGCGUGGGUAGCAAACAGG